rnacentral:rRNA from 1 species
AAAACAGUCCACUUUGUGGCCUGUUAUCGGAAUGGGUACAAUUUAAAUCUUUUAACGAGGAUCUAUUAGAGGGCAAGUCUGGUGCCAGCAGCCGCGGUAAUUCCAGCUCUAAUAGCGUAUAUUAAAGUUGUUGUGGUUAAAACGCCCGUAGUUGGUUUUUCGGUCUCGAAGCUCGGUAGCUCGUAUGGGCUUAACUGAGUCUUCCGGCCUAAAUUUCUUGUACUCUCCCGAUGCUCUUUAUUGAGUGUCUCGAGAUGCUAGAACGUUUACUUUGAAAAAAUUAGAGUGCUAAAAGCAGGCUAUACGCUUGAAUAAAGUGCAUGGAAUAAUGGAAUAGGACUUUAGUUUUAUUUUGUUGGUUUUCGAAAUUAAAGUAAUGAUUAAGAGGAACAGACGGGGGCAUUCGUAUUGUUGCGUUAGAGGUGAAAUUCUUGGAUCGCAGCAAGACGAACAACUGCGAAAGCAUUUGCCAAGAAUGUUUUCAUUAAUCAAGGACGAUAGUUAGAGGUUCGAAGGCGAUCAGAUACCGCCCUAGUUCUAACCGUAAACUAUGCCAACUAGCGAUCCGUCGGUGUUAAAUAUUGACUCGACGGGCAGCUUCCGGGAAACCAAAGUUUAUAGGUUCCGGGGGAAGUAUGGUUGCAAAGCUUAAACUUAAAGGAAUUGACGGAAGGGCACCACCAGGAGUGGAGCCUGCGGCUUAAUUUGACCCAACACGGGGAAACUCACCCGGCCAGGACACAAUAAGGAUUGACAGAUUGAUAGCUCUUUCUUGAUUUUGUGGGUGGUGGUGCAUGGCCGUUCUUAGUUGGUGGAGCGAUUUGUCUGGUUAAUUCCGAUAACGAACGAGACUCUAGCCUAUUAAAUAGACGAUAUAUCUUAUUAGUAUAUCGAGCUUCUUAGAGGGACGAGCAGCUUCUAGCUGCACGAGAUUGAGCAAUAACAGGUCUGUGAUGCCCUUAGAUGUCCGGGGCUGCACGCGCGCUACAAUGAAAAUAGCAGCGCGUUUCGAAAACCUUUUCUGGAAAGUAUUGGUAAACGCGAAAUAUUUUCGUGAUUGGGAUAGGGGAUUGCAAUUAUUGCCCUUGAACGAGGAAUUCCCAGUAAAUUCGAGUCAUCAGCUCGAGUUGAUUACGUCCCUGCCCUUUGUACACACCGCCCGUCGCUACUACCGAUUGGAACAUUGCGUGAGAUCUUCGGACUGACGUCGAAACGAACGUAAAAAUUCGAUUCGCGCGUUGGAAAGAUGCUCGAAUGCAACGUUCUAGAGGAAGUAAAAGU